rnacentral:rRNA from 1 species
AAGGAGCUUGCUCCUUUGACGUUAGCGGCGGACGGGUGAGUAACACGUGGGUAACCUACCUAUAAGACUGGAAUAACUCCGGGAAACCGGGGCUAAUGCCGGAUAACAUGUUGAACCGCAUGGUUCUACAGUGAAAGACGGUCUUGCUGUCACUUAUAGAUGGACCCGCGCCGUAUUAGCUAGUUGGUGGGGUAACGGCCUACCAAGGCGACGAUACGUAGCCGACCUGAGAGGGUGAUCGGCCACACUGGAACUGAGACACGGUCCAGACUCCUACGGGAGGCAGCAGUAGGGAAUCUUCCGCAAUGGGCGAAAGCCUGACGGAGCAACGCCGCGUGAGUGAUGAAGGUCUUCGGAUCGUAAAGCUCUGUUGUUAGGGAAGAACAAAUGUGUAAGUAACUGUGCACAUCUUGACGGUACCUAACCAGAAAGCCACGGCUAACUACGUGCCAGCAGCCGCGGUAAUACGUAGGUGCAAGCGUUAUCCGGAAUUAUUGGGCGUAAAGCGCGCUAGGCGGUUUUUU